rnacentral:rRNA from 1 species
CGGCGGACGGGUGAGUAACGCGUGGGUAACCUGCCUCAUACAGGGGGAUAACAGUUAGAAAUGGCUGCUAAUACCGCAUAAGACCACAGCACCGCAUGGUGCAGGGGUAAAAACUCCGGUGGUAUGAGAUGGACCCGCGUCUGAUUAGCUAGUUGGUGGGGUAACGGCCUACCAAGCCGACGAUCAGUAGCCGACCUGAGAGGGUGACCGGCCACAUUGGGACUGAGACACGGCCCAA